UUGUACUUGUACCUAGCUGUCGAGUGGCGAACGGGUGAGUAAUGUAUAGUUAAUUUGCCUCUUAGAGGGGGAUAGCCAUUGGAAACGAUGAUUAAUACCCCAUACUCCUUAUACAGUAAAUGUAUAAGGGAAAUGUUUUUCGCUAAGAGAUAAGACUAUAUGGUAUCAGGUAGUUGGUGGGGUAAGAGCCUACCAAGCCAAUGACGCCUAGCUGGUCUGAGAGGAUGACCAGCCACACUGGAACUGAGACACGGUCCAGACUCCUACGGGAGGCAGCAGUGGGGAACAUUGCACAAUGGAGGAAACUCUGAUGCAGCAACGCCGCGUGGAGGAUGACGCAUUUCGGUGUGUAAACUCCUUUUAUAUGGGAAGAUAAUGACGGUACCAUAUGAAUAAGCACC
rnacentral:rRNA from 1 species